rnacentral:lncRNA from 1 species
CUUGAAAAAGAGAGCAAGCAAACUUCAUUGACUCUUGAUCGGUCUCAGUGGAAGUUCGUCUGCAUUAAAUAGAUUGUCACAUAGGAAUUUUUGUUGACAUGACAAUAUAUUUUAAGAAAAGAGAAGAAAUGAUGAAACUCUUUUGCUAGGAUUAUCAACUCCUUUUGAGUCAUAAAAUUAAAUGCCUAUGAAAGUAUAGAAUGAAACUUUCUAUUGAUGGUGCAUGUUCCUAAGCUAACAAAAUAUUAUCAUCAAGUGCUCGCAAGAAAAAACAAAAUAUAUUUUCAGGCAGGAAACAAGACCAGAGCAAAGCAUUCCUUCUUGGCGUUUGAGAAAUGGAAGCAGCGAAGAACCCUCGGGGAUGGUGAAGCGGAACAGUGGUUUGUCCUGGAGCAUCUGCACUGAACUGGACGCCCCCGUGCGAUGUUAGUCGCUUGUUUCAUUGGUGCCAGCUAAGUAGCGAUGGCUGAAGAAGCCAGACCACGCUUCCCACCUUCCCUAAAAGCCAUGGCUACUCGGCUAGGCAUUCCAUCGAGCAGAUGGGCGGCGCUCCUAUAUGAACAGAGGCGCACAAUGUAGGAUCGGCAAUUUGCAUCGGCGAGGCUGCGGUGGCUGAGAACAAUCGCAGCAAAUGGAACUGGGAUCGGAGCGAUGGAUAUCGUCGAUGUAGAUUCCUGCGCCGAGGAAUUUGCGUGGGAAUUCGGAAAUGCAGAGGCCGGACUGGAGGCCCAGCUGCAGAGCAGACGCGUUUUUUGUGCGGAAGAAGCCGCACCGCAUGUAAACGCCCUCUCCAUCUACCCGCCCAC